UAAUCAAGCUAUUUUUACUACACUUUCUGUUCUAAUUGAGGCCCACAAGAGGUUGAGAGGUUAAGACCGCUCUAAUAAAGGGAGUUCGAGGCGAGUUCGAUUCCAGAUAAACGGAAUGACUGCAUGUUUGGUCUUCGUGGUUUUCUUCAUGUGUAAAGCGAAUGCGAGCCAGUUUACCUCAGAAAGUCUUCCGCAAAGGCAUCCUUCACUUAGGCUUCUUUUCGACUCACGGAGUAGUAAUGCUGCUGAUCACUGGUAGUUCGACUCAGAUUCUAGUCCCGGAGAGCAUGCUGGCUGCAUUGGCGUUUUCAUGGUUUUUCACAUCAUGCAUAGGAGCCAUUUUCCCUCAGAGAGUCCUCUAUGAAGGCAUUUCUUGUCUCUCUCCUUAACCCUCGCGUACUAUGCUAUUAUCAAAUAUGGAAAACCGGACCUCUGUCCCAGAAUUUUGAUUUGCAUUAAAUUUUUCGUGCUUUUCAUACUAUUUUAAAGCUUGAUAAAUCAUUGCUUUUGA